UACGAAUGUGGCGAGCGUUGUUCGGAAUCACUGGGCGUAAAGAGUACGUAGGCGGUUUAGCAAGUCAGGAGUGAAAUCCCCAGGCUCAACCUGGGAACUGCUUUUGAAACUGCUAGACUAGAAGCUCGGAGAGGUUGGCGGAAUUCUCAGUGUAGAGGUGAAAUUCGCAGAUAUUGAGAGGAACACCAGUGGCGUAAGCGGCCAACUGGACGAGUAUUGACGCUGAGGUACGAAAGCGUGGGGAUCAAACAGG
rnacentral:rRNA from 1 species